rnacentral:rRNA from 1 species
AGAGUUUGAUCCUGGCUCAGAGUGAACGCUGGCGGCAGGCCUAAUACAUGCAAGUCGAACGGCAGCACAGCAGAGCUUGCUCUGUGGGUGGCGAGUGGCGGACGGGUGAGGAAUACGUGGGAAUCUGCCCAGUCGUGGGGGAUAACGUAGGGAAACUUACGCUAAUACCGCAUGCGCCCUUCGGGGAAAGCCGGGGACCUUCGGGCCUGGCGCGAUUGGAUGAGCCCACGUCGGAUUAGCUAGUUGGCGGGGUAAAGGCCCACCAAGGCGACGAUCCGUAGCUGGUCUGAGAGGAUGAUCAGCCACACUGGAACUGAGACACGGUCCAGACUCCUACGGGAGGCAGCAGUAGGGAAUAUUGGACAAUGGGCGCAAGCCUGAUCCAGCCAUGCCGCGUGAGUGAAGAAGGCCCUCGGGUUGUAAAGCUCUUUUGUCCGGAAAGAAGAGCGCCGGGUUAAUACCCUGGUGUCCUGACGGUACCGGAAGAAUAAGCACCGGCUAACUUCGUG